rnacentral:piRNA from 1 species
UGCUAAAUGGAUGCAUUUUUCCUAAGUUG